rnacentral:lncRNA from 1 species
UUAGGAAAAUUUUCGUUUUCAUAGUGAUACAUUUCAGGAAUUAUAAUUGAUGUAUAAAGUUUCCACAAAUCUUGGUAUUUCUUCUUUGAUAUAGGCAAACGAGUUUUGUAAAUGUUUUUGAGUUGUAUAUUUUUGUUUUAAAUAUGAAUGCAUGCAAGAACUAUUUUAUUUUUAUUUUGUCCGGGACAAGCGUCGCUAUAUAACAAAAGAUGUCUGACUGACCCUCGAUCGUCUACCAUCUUGAUGUAUUUUUCUAGGAUGGUGCACACUUCAUUAGCUCCACGCUUGCCUUCUGUCUCAGUCCAAGAAUAACAAUAGCCUUCUCUAGUUCUGGACUCAUAAAAAGUAAGAUUAUAUACAGCCAAUUUUCGACUGUAGUAUAAUAACAUACUUUGGCCAAUACGGCGUGUUCAGAACUUUCUGUAAAUCAAAGGACACGCAAAGUAUGUUUUCAUCCUGAAUUUUCUGAUGUGCUUGAAAUCUUUCAUAAGUUUCUUCUUUGUCUUUAAGAUGAGCCAGUUUUUCUUCUUCUCUUUGUCCAUUAUCUUUUUCUAAACGCACACACUUAGCACAUUUGUCUUUACGCGGGAUCGAUUUUUCACAGACGAAAUGAAAAAUAACGCUCAUAGGCACUACUUGAAAAACAUAGGAAGGCCAAGAAGGGGGCGCUGAAGUAGUACAUGUUACAAUGUGUAACAUUACAUUUUCAGUCAUCCUAGUGACCAAUAAUGUCUGCGCCUUGGCAUCUUUAUUUUCCCAAGCAGUUCUCUCAGUGGGAUCUUCAGGUUUUAAAGCUCUUCCUUCGACAAUAUCUAGCCAGCCUUGUCCUCGUAGCAUAACUGUCGUUUGAAACUUCCAGAUAUUCCAAUUGUUAGCUCCUUCUAGCUUCAUCAAGCCAUUAUUAGAAUUCAAAUUUAUUUCCAUUUCGCUGUCCUUCCUUGCGACGCUCGUCGAACAAGUAUUUUAAGUCUAACUUCUUCACGUGGCCGUGCAAACUUAACCUCACUCUCACACACUCACUUUCUUCGAGGCGCCGCGCCGGCUCGCGAAUAUUUUACUAAGUUUUACUUCCUGUAUUAUUUAAUUUAUUUUAUACAGCUAUGUGCCUGCUGGGCCUAUAAGCUGUCGUAAUAAAAUAAACAAUACAGUAAUUUAAUCAGCGAAAAGUAUUUUAUUUAUUAGCAUAACGAAUGAACCACAAUACAGUUUUUGGGUAAGAGAGUUGACAGCUCAAAGUUGCCAAUAGACAAAACUUAAAAUAACUCUAUGGUGGAAUUACAUUGUAAUUAUACUUAAUAUUUUUAACAAGCUUAAUGUUCACCACGUUCUAAUAAAAUUGGUACCCAGGUUUCUUGGAGGCAAAGGCGUGGCGAACUUUCGAAACAAAUUCUUCCCAGGUUUUCACCUGUUCCUUUAUGCCAUUCCACCAGGUAGCUGCCUCUUCUCUCAAAAUUAAUGGAAUGCUCAUCAGGGAUUUGUUCCACAGACUUGAACACUGAAACUGCAGCCAGAAAAGAUUCCACAGUUUCUGUGUCCCUAGCACCAUUAAAUGUAACCUUACAGGUGGUAAAACAACCCCGUCGCUGUUUAUUACUACCAAUUACUGACAGUAACUUUUCAAAUUGCUCGGUUGACAAACUCAUGGUGUUCAGAGGUUCUUCUUUUAUUCUUCUUCUACGUGUUCCUUGUUUUGGGCUAGCCAGCUUUCGGGCCCCACGUUGGGCGCCAGAUUGUAAAGGGUCUUCAAUGAAACUUGGGGUGAAACUUCAAGGCAAUUUAUUUGCUUACAAAGGUGUAAACAUUAAUUCUACACUCGUAUGACUACACUAUACGGAUCGACGCGUGGUACGGUCCCGGCCAGUUCGUGUCGUGACGUCACGAAACAAGCAGGAUACGUCACCACGGGGCGAGCGGGCCGGGGCGACUCAGGCUAGGCGGGCUCUUCCAAUGAGUGGAUACAGCGGCGCGCUAGCGCAGAGACUGCCGAUCGAUUUUUUUUUGUUAUGGCAUCUCGCAGUUCAGCCUAGGAGGCCGUGUAAUGCUUAACCGGACUUUUCCCUGUAGAUGCCUAGAAUUUAAGGCCUCCAGCCAGGGGCGUAAAACAACUUAUAAGCUAAGCGACUGCGCUAAGGGUACCCCCUGCAGGGUCGGACCUCGGCUUAGAGCGUCGCUGGGGAGGCAGCAAGAGGACAGGCUGGAUCAUAUGAUCAUUAUUCGGUCGGGAGGACAAAGAACGGGACGUCGCGGCGGACCUCGGCGGUGAGGUUUGUGCGAACGCGGUUUGUGUUUGUGUAGAGUGCUAGUGAGUUUACUACUCUCUUGGAGGACAGUUAUCUCAUCGUCGGGUUCUAGGAGGGCGGGGGCAUAUCUAGGGCGGCGAAUCCUACUGAUGCGGGAGGGAGUAUAAUUACUAGCUGACACGAUAAGUGAGUUAUCGUGUUUCUCAGCGCGUUCGUAGUACCGUAUGGCGGCACGCUUCAUAUACUGGCGGAUGGUAGGGAUUUUUAAGUCGAGAUGAAGAAUCUCAUUUCGAACAUAAUAGGCAGCUCCUGUGAUUUUCCGUAAAAUACGUUUUUGAAGGGCCUGCAUUCUGUGAAGGUGGCGAUGUUUUGCCUGUGCGAACACUGGGCAAGCAUACAUCAUGAUGGGCUGCCGAUCGAUGGCUCGGUAGCCCCUUAUAAAGGUGGCGCGGCGAGCUAGUGUGCGUCUGUGUCCAGUCCCGACACAGUGUGAGUGCGCACGCGCGCGCGGCCGGCCCUUCGGUGGUGCUACACUCCUGAUACACAAGUAAUUUAAGCUAUCGGGAGCCUUUGGCAUCAGCGAUGACUUCGACUGCAGUAAUAGGUCAGAAUUUGGCUGCAUAGUUUCUGGAUCAUUUUCUUCUACCCUUUUAUUAUUUUUCAUUGCUUUUCCUUUCUUUGGUUGAGUUGAUACAUCCUUAAAAACGCCUGAAAAGACCGAUUUUUCCGGUGAGACAUUUAGUUUCUUGUUUCGUAUUUUUUUAUUUUGAUCAGGACUGCGUGUCUCCUGUAGCCAGUGUAAUAGUGCAUUGUCAAUAGUAUAUGGCAUCACCUUUUGAUUUGAGCCUGGCAGUUUACUAAUUACUUUAUCCGGAUUUAAUGGUGCAAUGCCAGUACUUCUAAAUGCACUGAUUAUGUUGUGUGUUUUUUCGUUAGGUUAGGUUAGGUUAGGCGUAUUUAAAGAAUGGAAAUCAACUGAAUUAUUUACAAUAAUUAAUAAUUAUUUCUUAUUUACAAAUUAUCACUUAUAAUACCACAAGAGCUUCAAAACUUCAAAAUUUCCUGAAAAACUUGACGACUUUAUUUGUUUGCAGGGAACCUUGAGGGAAAUGCCAGAUAAUUUUGAAGCUCGUGUGGUAUUCGGGGGAUUAUUUUUCCGUCCCAAAUGUCGGCCACAACCUGUCAGUUUGACGUAGCAACGACCAGAGAAAAUAUUCAAAAAAAAUUAUCAGUAUAAUACCAUGUAGGUUGUACCACGUGACGUCGAAUGGUGCAAUUCUAUUGGUCGAUAUUUGGGUCGGAAAAAUAAUCACUUUUAUUUACAUGUAGGUAUUAAAAGGCUUUACCUGUAUUGCAGCAACUGUUCAAAUUGCCUACCACUUUGUUGGAUACACAAACGAGCACGUUUUUGAAUAUUGUUUUUUAGUUUAUUUAAAGUCACUCUGUCUUGUUUCACAACAUCGAAAGCAGCAAUUAUUUUUUGUUUUAAUUGUUCUACACUGCGUGCUUCUUCGGUGUCUUUUCACUUCAGACCACAAAAAAAAGUCUAAUGGUGUCAUGUCCGGGCUACGAGGUGGCCAAGGCACGGGGCCACCUCGCCCGAUCCACCUGUCACCAAAUUCGCGGUUUAGGUACUCUCGCACUGAUCGGAAAUAAUGAGCGGGACAACCAUCGUGUUGGUAAUACGGAUCUCUUAGAUAGCUGACAGGUACAUCUUCCAAUAACUCGGGAAUUACGUUCUGUAUCAUAUCUAGGUACGUUCCACCGCUGAGGUUUCCCUGAAUAAAAAGAGGGCCAGAUAUUCUGUCGCCUAUAAUUCCAGCCCACACAUUCACACUAAAUCGGAUUUGGUAGGAAUGUUCCCGGAUUAGAUGUGGGUUGUUUAUUGACCACCAGUGCUCGUUGUGGAUAUUGAACAUCCCAACUCGGGUGAAUGUGGACUCAUCGGUCCAGAGAAUGUUGGUGGUUGGAUCUUCCAUAAGCCAGCGACACAAUACCAUUCUGGAUUCAGGGUCAGCCCCGUAUAAGGCCUGUGCUCGUCGGUAGUGGUACGGGUGCAAUCCUUCCGCUUGUAAAACUUUCCCAACAUAGUACUUGUUGACUCCGAAAUGUCUGGCAGAACAAAGAACAUAUUUAUUUUAAUUUUUCCUCCAUUUUGUUUGCCCAGAAAUCAUCAUCUUUGGGAAUAUUUGGUAAUACCAAUCGUGUGAUUUGUUUAUAACCAAAUCUCCUUUUUUAAUUUUUAUAAACGACCUCGAUGGCGCAAUGGUCACCAUGCCGGACUGCCGAACCUGAGGCCCCGGGUUCGAUUCCCGGUUCGGUCGACUUGUGUGUGUUGAGCAUGUUUGUUGGCCGUGGUCUGGGUGUUACAAUAUGUAUUUGUCAAUAUGUAUAUAUGUAGCUAUAUGUAGUUUAUCAGUUGUUUUAGCACCCAUAACACAAGUUAAUUAAUAACUUACCAUGGGGCUAACCGACCGUGUGUGAAAAAUGUCCAGACAUUAUUUAUUAUUAUUAUUUAUUAUUUUAUUAUUAUAAAACUUUAUUUUUUUAUUUUCUACAACUUCUUUUACAUUUUUUUGGAACGCUGUAAUAUUUGCUUUCGGGCAUUUGAUUUCGACUAUAGUGUCAGUUCCAAUCAAGCCGUCUUUGCAAAACAUGUCUUUUAUCAGAUUUAAUGGUCAUUAAACACACUUUCAAUUGAUACUAAUAUUAAUUGGGUUUAAUGUACUCAUUGCGGGCGGGAUAUGUUUUAAACUUAUUAUUGAAGAGGUGAGAUUUUUGUGACGCCGAGUGUAUUAAUAUUUAUUAUGUUACUAAAUCUCGCUUUUCUGCCUAUCUAUCCAUAAAAAAAACAACACGUUUAUUUCAUACAAAAAUGCCAUUUUAAUAAAAAAUGAAGCAAAACGAAAGCAAUAGAUGAAAUUGAAAACAAAACAAACUUUUUAGCUUUAUAAUAGAAUGUAAUUAAUGAAAUGUAUUAGCGCCAUAUCUUUUUAAUAAUUCUAAUAAAAUUGUAUGACAUGUUUCUGUCUUAUGCGAUAAUAAGGCAAACCCUAAAGGUAGGAAUUUAUUUGUGCCAUUUUCUGUUCAAGUCCCAACCUGCAUCACGUGUGCUCACGUGUGGGUUAUCACUGAAGCAGCCCAGCACUCGUUCGUUAAGGUCACUAGCGAUGCGUGGCCUGCCUGUAUCCGCUUGAUGAGGUCGAAACUGCCCAUUGUCGAGUAAGCGCUGGUACAUAAUACAUGGUAAUUUCGUAAUUUUUCAAUACAAAGUUGUAUAUUAAUUUCGCCACGAUUCAAUUGGCUUAUGAUGUCUGAUUCUUUUUUGAAGUUUUAUUCUCUCAGGACUUUUAAUUGAAAUAUACUGAACUAUUGAAGUAUUAGAAAAAUUAGUAUAAGUAUUAGUACGUAAAGUAUCCAAAAACAUUGCAAUGUUUGGUUUAGGUUAGUUUACAAUUCUGUUA